GGUUAAGUUAGAAAGGGCGCACGGUGGAUGCCUUGGCACUAGGAGCCGAUGAAGGACGGGACGAACACCGAUAUGCUUCGGGGAGCUGUAAGCAAGCUUUGAUCCGGAGAUUUCCGAAUGGGGAAACCCACCACUCGUAAUGGAGUGGUAUCCAUAUCUGAAUUCAUAGGAUAUGAGAAGGCAGACCCGGG
rnacentral:rRNA from 1 species